rnacentral:rRNA from 1 species
CUACCAUGGCGAUCACGGGUAACGGAGAAUUAGGGUUCGAUUCCGGAGAGGGAGCCUGAGAAACGGCUACCACAUCUACGGAAGGCAGCAGGCGCGUAAAUUACCCAAUCCUGAAUAAGGGAGGUAGUGACAAGAAAUAUCGAAUCGGUAUCCUUUAGUGAUAUGCGAGUUUGAAAUGAGAUAAAUCUAAAAAACUAAACGAGGAGCAAUUGGAGGGCAAGUCUGGUGCCAGCAGCCGCGGUAAUUCCAGCUCCGAUAGCGUAUAUUAAAGUUGUUGCAGUUAAAAAGCUCGUAGUUGAACUUCUGAUAUGAGUUGGACAGGUAUUAUCCCUUUGGGAACUUGUCCUCAUGUCAUCCCAUUAGAUCCUGGAUCACGUACUUAGUUGUACGGUUUCGGGUUCUAUGAAUUUACUUUGAAAAAAUUAGAGUGUUUCAAGCAGGCUCUUGCUGGAAUACAUUAGCAUGGAAUAAUAGAAAAGGACCUAUGUUCGUCACUUUAUUGGUACUAUGACACUAGGUAAUGAUUAACAGGGACAGUUGGGGGCAUUAGUAUUAUUUCAGAAGAGGUGAAAUUCAUUGAUUGAGAUGAGACUAACUUAUGCGAAAGCAUUUGCCAAGGAUGUUUUCAUUAAUCAA